rnacentral:lncRNA from 1 species
GCGAGCCGGCCAGACGCUCCGUCUUUCCCACGGCAGGUGCACUCAUCCAUCCAUCCGCCGACGGUUGGGGAGGCCUUGCUAGCUGGUGGGCUUGGCUCUUUCCCCGUUGUCCCCGAGUAGCCCUCGAGCCUGGAUGUAGGUGAGCGUGAGGAUGCUACUAGUGGGUAGAAGGAGGACGGCGGGGACGGGGACGACCCCCCUCCCGUCACUUGCUAAGGCGAGGCACUUGCUCCCACCCCACCCCCAAGCAGCCUCAGUCCCCGCAGCCCCCUCCCCCGGCCUGGCCUGCCAGCGCAGGGGGAGCCCGGUCGGAUUGUCACUCGACGCCCACUAGUGGCUGAGGAGGCUCCAGUGCGCAGGCUCCGGGCACCGGAUAAAAGCGGAGCUGGCGGGUCCGGCGGCGUCUCGAUGGAGGAGCGAGAAACGCCAAGAGGUCGGGGGGGAGAAGCCGCAGAAAACAUUGCAGCCAUCGUCAGCGCCGCCUCCCUGCCACCGUGUAUGGGGUAAAAGCUGCCGUUGCCGCUGCCGGUGCAGUUGCCGCCGCCGCCGCCUCCUAUACUUCUUAGCGCCGGGGAAGGAUUCCCCGCCGCGGGACAGUGUGCUGGGCGGGGAGCGGGAGUUCGUUUGUGUGGCGGUGAUUAAACGAGGGAGGGGCUGAGCUGGUUUCUCGAACCGAAAAGGGGAGGCCGAGGAAUAAAACUGGGUUCCCCCACUAAAGUCACACAGCGAUUACGGAUCUGGCUUUGGGGGGGCCUUUUCCCCGGAAUGGCGGUUUCCGUCUUCUUGGCCCCGCAGCACGACCUUGGGUGCUCCGUAAGAGAAGUGGGGAGAGGCAGAGGCGGUGUCGGCAGCCAAUCGGCGUCUGGUGAUUUCUGUCGGGCGCGUGGGGAUUGGCUGUCGAUGACCUCAUGCUGCAGCAGCGGGUGGGGCCAGAGUCUCCGGGGCUGGCUGUUGCAAAGGCAGAGAGGGGAGAAGUGAUGACGGUGAUCGUUGUCGCCGCGUCUUCUGUGGAGCCCAAGCAGUGCCGAAGGAAGUCGCCAGGCUCUUCCCCGACCUUUUGCUCCUCUCCCUGCGCGAGGUGAGGGCCCUGGCUCGGCCUCUGCGAGACUUUGGGGCGCUGGUGCGGCCGUGGAGGCGCAAUUUCUCCCGUGACUUUUGUAACUGCGUCAGGGCAAGAUGGCGCUGGGUCUCCUUGGGGCGCGGGGGGAGAGGCACGUCCACCGCCGCCGCAGCGCAUGUGACCGGCUGCAUUCCUGUGGGGUUUGGCGGGGACCCAGGCAGGGCGGGGGAGGGGACCGGGCUUGGGCGGAGGAGAUGGUGGUGCGGUCGGCGUUGGCUGCCCGAAGAGGAAGAGAUGACUGAGAGCUCUUCCCCUCCCCCGCUCCCCGCAGCAGAACAGCUGCGCGGGGGGGGGGGGGCCCUGAAAGGACACUCCUUUCGGGGUGUGCCGGCCCAGCCGCCGGUGGAGGAGAAGGUUUGACGCCUUCUUAUCUGCCUUUCUCCUUGCAAAGUGUGCUUACGUAAGGUGGCAGUUCCCUCCUGUAAGCCCACUAGGAGGCCCCGAGUGUCACUAGUAUGGGUAACAAGGACAGGUUAGGCUCUGAAGGCACCACGGCUAGGAGUGUUGAUUAUUUCAGACAAAACAUAAAGUUUUGGGGGUCUGACUAGAAGACUACAGCAUUCUCGGAGUUUGAAAGCAAGUGAAUAACACCCAGGAACACGUAUAAGGGUUUACUUAGCCAGACAGCGGCUAAGGACUGCAUCACAGUCUGAAAGGAAGGGCCCUGUCAAACCUUCUCCUUAUAGUCUUUGUGUUCAUUACCCUCCCUGUCUGUACAUCCCGUGAGAGAGUUUAAUUUUAUUGGUGAGGGGUGCCUUUUCAAAUAUAAGUAUCUUUAGUAAUUUUAGUAUUUUGUUCUGUAUGAAACUGAAAGGUCAUUUUCUAUACUUCACGUUGCAUUUUGUCGUCCUUUUAAAAAUAAAAGAUGGAAUUACAAAUGC